GAUGAACGCUGGCGGCGUGCCUAAUACAUGCAAGUAGAACGCUGAAGCUUGGUGCUUGCACCGAGCGGGUGAGUUGCGCACGGGUGAGUAACGCGUAGGUAACCUGCCUGGUAGCGGGGGAUAACUAGUGGAAACGAUAGCUAAUACCGCAUAACAGUAUAUAUUGCAUGAUAUCUGCUUGAAAGGUGCAAAUGCAUCACUACCAGAUGGACCUGCGUUGUAUUAGCUAGUUGGUGAGGUAACGGCUCACCAAGGCGACGAUACAUAGCCGACCUGAGAGGGUGGUCGGCCACACUGGGACUGUGACCCGGCCCAGACUGCUUCGGGAGGCGGCAGUAGGGCAUCGUCGGCAAUGGGGGGAACACUGAGCGAGCAACGCCGCGGGAGGGAAGAGGGUUGUCGGAUCGGAGAGCACUGUUGUCAGGGAAGAACGAGUGUGAGAGUGGAAAGUUCACACUGUGACGGUAUCUGACCAGAAAGGAACGGCUAACUACGUG
rnacentral:rRNA from 1 species